rnacentral:snRNA from 1 species
AUGACAUGCAAAUUCAUGAAGUGUUCCACAUUUUU